AAAAGUAGUGCAAAUAGAGAAACAAACUUCUACAUGUAAACAAUGAUCACUCUUAAAGAGUUGUUGCUUUAGAACAUGUAUAUACCAUUGUUCUUUGCUUCAGCAUCACACAUGACCAAAGACAACCAAUGCCAUGGGGUAACAGCACCAAGGCUUACACAGACCAUGUACAGCUACUGCACACACACAGAGACACAACCUUUACGUCGCCGGAUCAAAGAAGUGACCAGAGACAACACCAGUGCAGCAGUAGCAGUCAGCAGAGCAAGUCAUUGUUCCCUGUCUGACUUGGCACCAUCUCGCUUCGCUUGUACCCACAUGUGUCCACCAGUUCAACAAACAUCCUAGUACUGCAGUACUACAAAAUUUGAAAACGACAACUUUUUGCAAUAUGAAGUGUUUGACUGUCUUCACUAUUAUCAGCAUACAUGUUACUCAGAAUUUAGUUUACUAUAAAUGCUAGGCCAAACCAAAGUCCAAAAUCACCUACAGGCUACAGGAUACUUGAGCUCGUGACUGUUGAGAACCUCCUCACUGCAUGAAACGUUCCAAGUCAACAACAGGAAACAAAAUUUGCACCGCAGGCAACAGCUAGCUACUCCCUCCAUUCCUAAAUAUAAGUCUUUGUAGAGAUUCCAUUAUGGACCACAUACGGAUGUAUAUAGAUGCUUUUAGAGUGUAGAUUCACUCAUUUUGCUCCGUAUGUAGUCCAUAAUGAAAUCUCUACAAAGACUUAUAUGAGGAACAGAGGGAGUAGUUGAUAAAAAAAAAAGAACAGUAAUGCAUAAGAGCAAGUUACAGCCACGAGAAGAUUUUUGCUCUGUGUAACACUAGGCAAAUUGAAGAUCAGGUCCUGAAAUAAGUAAUCAACGGAUCCUGAUACAAGAUACGUAUUAGAGAGUUGUUGGCUGCAACAAGUAAAUGAACAAAUCCUGGAACAAGUAAUCGUACAACUGAAAAGCGUUAUCAAGAUUAAGCAUUUGGUUUGAAUGAUUCUUUGAACUCGGAGAUGACAAACAAAUACAGUUACAUGAAAGGCAUUGUUUAAACUCGGAGAUGACAAAUAAUGCAUACCUGAACCUCCUUAAGAAAAUCGGAAAGCAUGCGUCAAUCACCUCAUUUAAAAUUGUAAGAUCUUGCAUUGACAUAAAAGAGAAGAAACAUGGCUGAAGAUGCACAUACAAAUACUCUUUCUUAAAAUGCUAACUGUAAAUUGUUGAACUACUGCCAGUAAAAAAUUAUGCAAAAGGUUCAAGUAGUCCAGGCAUAUAUUCUGAAUUUAGACUUUCACCAUAGGCACUGGCUUCUCAAUAAGCAGGUGCCUCACUUUUCUGUACAUGUCCAGAGCAUCAGAUAUUGUAAUCCCACACAAAUAGUAUGUGCAACAGAAUUGAUGAUUCAGGCCAAAACAGUAUUAGAGAUGUCAGUUUGUCACACAAAUAGCUUACCUUAGAAACGGUGAAACACCAAAGUCGACACCUAUACAGAUAACACCGUUCAAUUCCUAUCAAAGAACGUCUGCUCAGAAGCUUGUAUCAUACAUUCCUAGUUAUUUGUUUUCUUCUCUUUCUUGUCAUGCUAACAAAAUAGAUAUGCCUGACAGUAAUUAGAGACAAUAUGUCAGUGCAUUCUUAAAGAUUAACAAUAGAGUACUCAAGAGUGUCCAGCGGUACCAUGCAGCCAUCUAUCCGAGUAGUUCAUACUGGUCGAAAGACAAAUGUUCACACUCGCUGCCGUUGGUGGCCUGACUGCAUGACCAUGAGAACAUCCGUGUCU
rnacentral:lncRNA from 1 species